GGAGCUGCGGCCCUUGGUGCGGUACCUCGGCUCAAACUUCUGGGGAGCUUUUGGGUCGAAACCCUGCAUAGAUAAGCACACGGGGCCAGCUAUGGGAGGAAACUGGAGCCCGGGAGGAAACCCAUUGCAGAACACGAGUAAAGAACACGCGCUCCACAAAGAAAGGCGCCAGAGUUGACAACCAAACCCAGGACCUGCUUGCCGUGACGCACAAGCGGUGCCACUGCGGCCGCCCUGCUGCGAGAAAGCCAUCCCUCCUCAUCACCGCCAUCGACAAAGCUCUCGGAAAGUUCAACGUGAAGCUGCAGAGUCUGGCCCUGUUGACUCGGGAGCAACGCGCCCAUCGCGACUGCCUCACCCAAUGCCUGUCGCGCGCCGCCGACGAGCUGAUAAAGUGAAACCAGCCACUCUAACGGGACACUGCGCGCUUCCUGCUCGCCGGCGAUUUUGUUGAAAUCUCCGAGUCCCUUGAACAGGCGCGAUUAGCGGACGGCCCCUGGAGCACAUGCAGCGCCAACAAUAAUCCCGUCGAGCACGGCCCGCAAACGGGAACAGCGCUAUCGCAUCCUUCCCGGAGAAAUCGUCGCGCUCCUCAGCACCGCCGUCUGCCAACGCGACACUUCCUCCAUCACGAGGGGCGAGAUUCGCUCACUGCCUGAGCAGCGAUGUGGACAGAACCAGGCCCAGCUGGCCCAGUCUUCCCAGCGCUGAUUUGGUGGCGCCACAGUGGUGAGAUGUUAACUACCUCGCCUGGUAUACAGGAGGUCGUGAGUUCCAUCCCGAACCUGACGCCUGCUGCUGUAUAUUUGGAAGUUUUUUUAUGUCAUCACUGUGGUCGCGUUGAAUUUUCUCUCCAUACUGUAUUUGGCUACUGCUAUAAAUUUCCACGUGUUAAGCCACUUCGUUGAGCUAUCAUUUGUGACCAGGUCACUUCUGGAAAAAAAAACACCUCUAUAUCUCAGCGGGCCUUACCUGGUAAAAUAAAAUAUAGUACGAGUAGUUUACUUUCAUGUUCACUACCAUCUGUGCGAGGUGCUUAUUUAAGAAAGAGUCAAACUCGGCGAGCUCUGUGUGCAAAACCGCCGUACCGCCGCUCCCCACGCAGUGUGCAGAGGUGUUGUUUCGUCUGUGUAUUUUACGCGUACAUGUGUUUGCGCAGGUGUGUAUGUGUGCAUAUGUGUAUGUACGUAUACACACGCUUGUGUGCUUAGCCACCCGACGCUUACAAAAAUGAGCAGAGCGCCAGGUGACAGAAACACGGCGAGUUGGCAUGGCGGGGAGUGCAGGUGAUGCAUCUGCUAGUGAUAUCGUUUAACACGCAACAUCUGGAUCUGUCCCGUGACCUUGUGCCAGCGAGGCUUUGCCACUUCGCGUGGCUUUAAAGUGCACUAAACUUGGCCCAAUUGCCAUGAAGACAUCGUCACCACCCAUUGGCUGUUGCACUUCUUCAGUGAAGGAAUAGCAAAAGCACGCAAACUCUGUCCUGAAGCCCUCUCGUGGCAAGCAGACCUCGACAUUGGCAUUUAGCUCCUGAACCAUAUUUCCAUGCACAGGAAUAGAAUAGUGGCGGCUGUUGCUGUUGUGGGGCUGAGACACGGCCUAGCGGUAGCAUGUGUGUCACUUGCAGCGGCCGCCCAAUUAUUACUGUGGGGAUAUUAACCGUAACAACAAUGCAUGUGCUGUUUUUGCUUCGCAGUGGACAUUAAAGAUCCCGUGACAACGUU